AGAAAUGUCUUCCUGAGAAUAAUAAAAGCAGCAGAAUAAUUGUCACCACAAGGAUUCAAGCUGUAGCAACAACUUGCUCUCCUCGUGACAAAGACCUUCAUCUUAUUCAUACAGUUAAAUCUCUUGAGGAGGAUGAAGCCAGAGAAUUGUUCGAGAAAACCCUGGACGAAUGCAAGGGCACUGGAUAUGAUCAUCUAAAUCAUAGAAAAAUUCCAGAGAGAGUUUGGAAAAUGUGUGGUGGCUUGCCAUUGGCCAUAGUGACCAUGGCUGGUCUUGUAGCAUCCGACAAGCAGCAGGGGGCCCACAAAGAUUGGAAUGAAGUUUGCGAUUCUCUCUUUCCAAACAAAGAAGUAUGCCAUAAACCAGAGGAAUUUAUGAGGAUAAUAAAUCAUUGCUAUCAUGAUUUAGACAAUGACCUCAAGACUUGCUCUCUAUAUCUAAGCAUAUUUCCAAAGGGACGCAAAAUCAGCAUGAAGAGGCUCACAAGAAGAUGGAUAGCAGAGGGUUUUGUCAGCGAGAAGCAGGGGUUGAGUGUCGAGGUUGUUGCAGAGACAUGCUUUAAUCAGCUCAUUGAAAGGAAGUUAAUACGGGCUGUAGAGCACAACAGCAGUGGAAGGGUGAAGAGUUGCCAAGUCCAUGACAUGGUUCUUGAGUACCUAAUUUCAAAGGCAGCUGAAGAGGAUUUUAUUACUGUGGUAGGUAGCCACUGGUCAAUGCCAACACAUAGCAACAAGGUCCGUAGGCUUUCCGUCCACAGCAGCGACUCUAAACGUGCACAGCAUGUGGAUAGCAUGAACCUGUCCCACGUCAGGUCACUGACUGUGUUUGAGAGCCUGGACAAACUGCAUUUUAAAUCACUCAAAACUAGAAUGGUUCAAGUAUUAGACCUCCAAGGCUGCAGAGGUUUUAGGGAGAGCCAUGUCAAGGUUUCAGACAUAAGUGAAAUGGUUCUUCUCAAGUAUCUGUGUCUCCGAAGCACGGACAUAAAAUAUCUUCCCCGGAAUAUACACAAGCUCAAGUACUUGGAGACUAUAGAUAUAAGGGAGACAGGGGUUCAACGGUUGCCUGCAACUGUAGGAAAGCUUCAACGAAUAAAGAACAUACUCGGUGGAGAUAAAAGAGCAAGGAAAACCCUAAAACUUCCUAGAGAAUUCAAGGGAACAACGAGAACCUUACGCAUAUUGUCAGGGGUUGAGAUCGCGGAGGGAUCAACAACAGCGGCAUCAGAUCUUAAGUACUUCACGGGGCUGAGGAAGUUGGCAAUUUACAAGAUCCACCAAAAUGAAGAUAUAUUCAGAGAUUUGCUGUCCUCUAUCCAGUAUCUUACUGGAUAUUCUCUUCAAACUCUUAAAAUUGAUGACGAGUCAUCUGAUUUCCAUAAGACCUUGGACUCAAUGUCGUCCUAUCCAACAGAUUUGAGUACUCUUGAGCUGUCUGGCAUGUUGCUUAAACUCCCAUUGUGGAUAAAGGAGCUCCAUAGACUUGUCAAGUUAACUCUGUCAGCAACAGCUCUCCGAACAGAUAACUUAAAGGUCCUUAGCAAUCUAGGUUCACUGUUUUCCCUAACCUUUUCAAUCAGUGAAGAGCAGGAUCCUGCUUUGGGAGCCAUUCUCCAAAGAAAUAAGUCUGAAUCAGGAGGAGAGAUCUUUUUUCCAGCUGGAAAAUUCAGUAAGCUCAAACUGCUUCGCAUAUUUGUUCCUCUUCUUCCAUUACUCAACUUCUCAAGCAAAGCGGUACCAGAGCUUGAAAGGAUUGAAUUGCGUUUCAAUAGGUUGGAAGGUCUUCAUGGUAUGGAAAAUCUUGAACGUCUCAAUGAUGUGCUCCUGACAGUUGAUGGCAAACGCAGUGAACCUACAAAGUCAAUACUUGAUGAUUUGAAAGAAGUAUCAGUAUCAUCCAAGUACACAGUAAUUGUCAAUGAGUCCCAUCAUGAUUGAUCGGAAUGUCGUCAAGUAAAAUAUGUUGAUAUUUCAGUCAGUAACAACAAACUCAGCUUUUAUGUCUUCACUAUGUACAAAUUAAGCUACAUAUGUGGCUGUGUUUUCACCCCUUUCAUUCAUCAUGCCUUGGAUCAGUUAGGUAUUCACACUAGUAAGGAUGCAUUAGAAUCACUGAAAUACUCUAUAUGCAUGGUCUGAUGUUGC